AUCAAGAUCACGUCCGAAGGUCCGUUUUUGGAGAAAUUGGGAAGCCGGUGAAAUUCCGGCGCUGCCCCCGCAACUGUAAGCGGCGAGCGCUCCUCCCCACGCCACUGAUCCCCGCGAGGGAUUGGGAAGGCCGAGGUGCGCAGCGACCCGCAAGCCAGGAGACCAGCCGGAGGACGGAGACGACC
rnacentral:ncRNA from 2 species